CCCCUCUGUCCCCUCCCUGGGCCCGGCGUUCCCGCCCCUUCUGUGCGCGCGUGGAGGCCGGGGCGGGGCGGGGCGGGGCGGGCGCAGCCGGCGCUGAGCUUGCAGGGCCGCUCCCCUCACCCGCCCCCUUCGAGUCCUCGGGCUUCGCCCCACCCGGCCCGUGGGGGAGUAUCUGUCCUGCCGCCUUCGCCCACGCCCUGCACUCCGGGACCGUCCCUGCGCGCUCUGGGCGCACCAUGGCCCGCGGGGCUGCGCUGGCGCUGCUGCUCUUCGGCCUGCUGGGUGCUCUGGGCGCCGCCCCGGAUGGUGGUUUCGAUUUAUCCGAUGCCCUUCCUGACAAUGAAAACAAGAAACCCACUGCAAUCCCCAAGAAACCCAGUGCUGGGGAUGACUUUGACUUAGGAGAUGCUGUUGUUGAUGGAGAAAAUGAUGACCCACGACCACCGAACCCACCCAAACCGAUGCCAAAUCCAAACCCCAACCACCCUAGUUCCUCCGGUAGCUUUUCAGAUGCUGACCUUGCGGAUGGCAUUUCAGGUGGAGAAGGAAAAGGAGGCAGUGAUGGUGGAGGCAGCCACAGGAAAGAAGGGGAAGAGGCCGACGCCCCAGGCGUGAUCCCCGGGAUUGUGGGGGCUGUCGUGGUCGCCGUGGCUGGAGCCAUCUCUAGCUUCAUUGCUUACCAGAAAAAGAAGCUAUGCUUCAAAGAAAAUGAUGGCUGAAGACCUGGGGGUGAGCAGAGAACCCAGCGCAGGCCUGCGGAGCGUCCUGACCGUAAUCGUUUUAUCUGCUAAGACAUAGCCUUAAAGCAAACCCUUCCAUCUGCCGCUCCCCUCGCCCUGCUGGCAAAUUCCCACCACGAUGGGAUUCUCAAUCACAUGGCGGAUUCUCUGCCUUCAGUUCCAUAUGCUUUUGCCUUUCUUGAUGCACAGAAGCUCAUUAUAGCAAAUCAUGUUUCUGCAUAACAGCUUCAGAAAAUGAAGAGAAAUGCAGACAUUUUCUUUUAAACAUGAAUCUAACAGAAACAGGGCAGUGACUUCCAUGUUUUCAUGAGUUUUGUCCCUAAGUCCAUCCCUGCCAAGGGAACAAACUGGGGCCCAGGGUGGCCACCCUCUUCCCUGCAGUGUCCUAGGUUAAGCUCACUCACGUCCUAAGGAUUUGACCUUCCAGGUCAUGCAUGGAUUUUUAAAUCUUCAACGUUUUCGGCCCUUGACUUGCAUUUCUCACUGCACUUCCUAUGAAGCGGUUCUUAACUCUUUCUGUGAUCAGUGUUCCAAACAGGUGCACACCUUGGUUCCUAGAAAAACAAAAUUCAUACGUUGAGGAAUCACCUAAACAUCUCCUGAUCUUCACACUCAGAACAAGGGGAGGUGGACAUGGAGAGCCACCGGAAUGCCAACGCAGAGCCAGCUGUUCAGCGUACUCUUUUAGAGAAAUAGAAGAUUGUCGGCAGAAACAGCCCAGGCGUUGGCAGCAGGGUUAGAACAGCUGCCUGAGGCUCCUCCCUGAAGGACACCUGCCUGAGAGCAGAGAUGCAGGCCUUCUGUUCACGGCGGAUUCUUCGUUUUAAUCUUGCGAUGUGCUUUGCUUGUUGCUGGGCGGAUGAUGUUUACUAACGAUGAAUUUUACAUCCAAAGGGGGAUAGGCACUUGGACCCCCAUUCUCCAAGGCCCGGGGGGGGGGGCGGUUUCCCAUGGGAUGUGAAAGGCUGGCCAUUAUUAAGUCCCUGUAACUCAAAUGUCAACCCCACCGAGGCACCCCCCCCCGUCCCCCAGAAUCUUGGCUGUUUACAAAUCACGUGUCCAUUGAGCACGUCUGAAACCCCUGGUAGCCCUGACUUUUUUUUAAUUAAAAUAAGGUAAGCCCUUCAAUUUGUUUCUUCAAUAUUUCUUUCAUUUGUAGGGAUAUUUCUUUUUCAUAUCAGACUAAUAAAAAGAAAUUAGAAACCAA